UAGGGAAUCUUCCGCAAUGGGCGAAAGCCUGACGGAGCAACGCCGCGUGAGUGAUGAAGGUCUUCGGAUCGUAAAACUCUGUUAUUAGGGAAGAACAAAUGUGUAAGUAACUAUGCACGUCUUGACGGUACCUAAUCAGAAAGCCACGGCUAACUACGUGCCAGCAGCCGCGGUAAUACGUAGGUGGCAAGCGUUAUCCGGAAUUAUUGGGCGUAAAGCGCGCGUAGGCGGUUUUAUAAGUCUGAUGUGAAAGCCCACGGCGCAACCGUGGAGGGUCAAUGGAAGCUGGAAAACUUGAGUGCAGAAGAGGAAAGUGGAAUUGCAUGUGUAGCGGUGAAAUGCGCAGAGAUAUGGAGGAACACCAGUGGCGAAGGCGACUUUCUGGUCUGUAACUGACGCUGAUGUGCGAAAGCGUGGAGAUCAAACAGG
rnacentral:rRNA from 1 species